GAUGAACGCUAGCGGCAGGCUUAAUACAUGCAAGUCGAACGGUAAGGUCUCUUCGGAGAUACACGAGUGGCGCACGGGUGCGUAACGCGUAUGCAACCUACCUUUAGCUGGGAAAUAGCCCCGAGAAAUCGGGAUUAAUGUCCCAUAUUAUUCUUUGAAUACCUAUUCGAGGAAUGAAAGCUCCGGCGGUUAUUGAUGGGCAUGCGUGACAUUAGCUAGUUGGUGAGGUAACGGCUCACCAAGGCAACGAUGUCUAGGGGUCCUGCGAGGGUUAACCCCCACACUGGCACUGAAACACAGACCAGACUCCUACGUGAGGAAGCAGUAAGGAAUAUUGGGCAAUGGACGCAAGUCUGACCCAGCCAUGCCGCAUGAAGGAUGAAUGUCCUAUGGGUUGUAAACUUCUUUUAUGCAGGAAAAAUAUCCCGGUCGUGAACCGGGACUGAUGGUACUGUAUGAAUAAGCAUCGGCUAACUCCGUGCCAGCCGCCGCGGUAA
rnacentral:rRNA from 1 species